rnacentral:rRNA from 1 species
GACGUAGGGCGCGAGCGUUGUCCGGAUUUAUUGGGCGUAAAGAGCUCGUAGGCGGCUUGUCGCGUCGACUGUGAAAACUCGGGGCUCAACUCCGAGCUUGCAGUCGAUACGGGCAGGCUAGAGUUCGGUAGGGGAGACUGGAAUUCCUGGUGUAGCGGUGAAAUGCGCAGAUAUCAGGAGGAACACCAACGGCGAAGGCAGCUCGCUAGGACGGUACUGACGCUAAGGCGCGAAAGCGUGGGGAGCGAACAGG